UCACCGCACAACAGUAACCACCACCAUUAUUAUUACCGACAUUAUAACUGUUGGGGCGGGCUGUUAAGCGAAAGAAAUUUCAAGAAAAGGCCUGUAUCCCACAAGAUACAGGCCUUUUUUUA
rnacentral:sRNA from 12 species